UGCCAGCCGCCGCGGUAAUACGGAGGGAUCUAGCGUUAUUCGGAAUUACUGGGCGUAAAGCGAGCGUAGGCGGAUUUGUAAGUUGGAGGUGAAAUCCCAGAGCUUAACUCUGGAACUGCCUUCAAAACUACAUUUCUUGAGUUUGGUAGAGGAGAGUGGAAUUCCUAGUGUAGAGGUGAAAUUCGUAGAUAUUAGGAGGAACACCAGUGGCGAAGGCAACUUACUGGACAUUUACUGACGCUCAGACACGAAGGCUAGGGUAGCAAAAGGGAUUAGAUA
rnacentral:rRNA from 1 species